GUCUGUCAUCGGACCAGUACAUGUUGAUAGAUGAGAGGUAUUGCAUGUGGCGAUGAUCUGUGACGCAGAUAUCACAAUAACACGGAGACAUCAGACAGUAUCCAGAUUAGCCGCCAACCCAAUAAAUAACUGAUUUCUAAAUAGCAACAAAGCCAACUUGUUAAAGAGAACAAUCCAGGAUUUUACACAUCAAUGCACAAGACUGACAUCAAAAUAUUCAACAGUCAUUCUUAUUUGUCGGUUAUGACCAAUGCAAGAGAACCGUAAUAUUAUAUGUGACGUCAUAUGGAUAUAAUGGACGUCUCAGGGUAGUGCCAAAUGCCAUUCCAUAUUCCUUAUUCCAGUAAUGGAGUCCCAGAUCGUGUGACAGCCUUUGUUUUUUAUGCUAAAAUUAGCAAUACAAUAUUACUACGUCAUUAAAACUACCUUAUCUAUGAAGUGGAAUUUCCAGGUGUACAAAGAUGGAAUGAUAAGAAAGAAAAUACUGUAAAGGUUGGAAUGACGUCAUAUAACUGGGGCUAACAUUCCAUGAAAUGGAAGUAAAAUAAACCUCGACGAAAACAUUGUAACUCACGUCCGGUCUAUAAGUGAGUGGGGCCUACAUUAACAUACAUAGUUCACCUAGGUAACAGGCUGGACGGACACGGUGACCACGUGUCGUACAUGUCGGCGCGCGUGUAGUACAUGUCGUUCGUGAGGUUUGACAGGUCGAAGUGUACGCUACCAUCACGACCGUCCACCUUGCACGCAUUAAUGCUUCCGUUCAACAAGAAGUGAGUUUGAUUGGAAGGAAGGGUGAUCAUAAUAUUUUCAAUUAUUUCCACACAGCAAGGCACGUCACCCUGUCACAUUUGUCCCACGACGAAGGAAAUGUAUUGAGCACGAUGUUAGAAAUUGUUGUAGCAUUAGGUAUGUGGAAACUUCUUUAUGUCGUCAUGGUCUAUGUCAAUAACGUGACCUCUGAUUCCGUCGUUCGUGUUAGAGGGGGACUUUUAUCGGGUGUUCAACUUUCUACGUCACAAGGCCAUGUGACAUCAUAUCUAGGUGUGCCGUACGCGAAAGCACCUUUAGGUCCACUUCGGUUUCAGAAACCGGAUGUUACUGUUAAAUGGGAUGGAAUUCGAAAUUCAACUUUUUUUAGCCCUAUCUGUAUGCAAAGCAUCAGAAACGACGGUCUUCAAAUGCUGACAAUGAGCGAAAACUGUUUAUUUCUUAACAUCUACGUCCCUGGUGACAUUCGUUCUUCAAACAACGAUAAACUUCCGGUUGUUGUGAUUGUGCAUCCUGGUUACUUUCAGGGAGGUUCCGGUGCAAUGAUCGAUGGGAAAUCCAUUGCCAUUUCUAAUCAUGUGAUCGUAGUGACAUUUAAUUUUCGACUUGGAGUGUUUGGCUUUCUGUCACUGGAGGGUCACUAUCCGGGUAAUGUGGGUCUACUUGACCAGGUGGCAGUAUUAAAUUGGGUGAAACAGAAUAUUGCACGUUUCAAUGGAAAUCCAAAAAAUGUUGUGUUAGUGUGUGAUUAUUUCACGUCUCAAAAACACAUAUCGAGUACAUUUAAUAACUUGUAUGACAAGAUAGUGACCUACAGUGGUGAUUUUGAGUUCGAAAACAAAGAAACGAACACUUUAUUUAACUUUGACGUUAUACGACAACGCUGUGCGUCAAUUGGUCAGUCAAUACACAAAUGUCUACUGCAGCUCGAUCCGUCAUCUCUCCUGAAUUCAUCAAACCUAUCUACAGGACGGCGGACACGUCCAUUGUUUUGGCCCGUCUCUGAUAGUAAUUUUCCAGCAAGAGUCCAUGGAGCAAUGUUCGGUAGAUUAGUUCCUCAUCCGAACAUGGUGGAUGUGAUCCUCACUGACUUACCAUUUCUAGAUCAAAAGACUAGCCAUCGGCACGACUGUGAUUCCACAGACUUUGAAGAAAUGAGUCAACACGUCGUAGAUUUAUUGGCUGUUGACACGAACGAGAGGACAAAACAGCUGAUGGUGAAAACAUUAACAGCAUUCUACUACUCAAACCAGGAGGAUUGUGGUGUCAAUAUGGUAGCCGACUUUCUAUGGUCAAGCGUUCUUUCCUUCGCAAACUCCUAUUAUACACAGGGCUUGACUCUCUUGACCAGUGUAGGCUUGUCCGUCAGUAAUGAUAAGAAUGUGACCACAACAUUAAUGUGCGUACUGACGAACUGUAGUGCAGAUGUCCAGUCCGUAAAUCAUGCUCUGUCUCAGUUUGUGAGAUAUGGCUAUCCUACUUUUGCUGACGAUGCGAUUGUGUGGAGGCCGUAUACACCUACAUCUAAAAACUACUUGUCCAUCAAUGACGGUAGCCUAGCAACAGGUGAUGCCAGCUCGUGGCCAUUCCGUCAGCUGGAACUUCUAUGGUUUGAUCUUUUACCAUCACUUGGCGUAAAGAUGACAUCGGAGAAAUCAGAUGACAGCCACCUGGAUAUACCGCAUAACGGAUGCAUUACUAACUAUGCUGAAGAACAAUGGGGAUUAUCACCAUCCCAGUUAGAGGCCCUCCUCUUCAGUCUUAUCCUGGGCACGCUCUUCCUGCUUGUCAUCGUCACUGCCCUGUUCCGAAUCCUCUGUCAUUUCCGUGGUAGGAAAUUUGUCAAGGCGCAAGGUCGAGGAACACACAAAAAACCAGCACCAGCGGAAAAUUCAUCAAACCACAUGGAAACCCUGAGCCAUGUAAUUAUCCCGAACCAUACAGGACUACAGAACAACACAAGAUCGCGAAAUCAUACCGAAAACGAUACGGAGACACACUGCCAUAACAUAAACUCUACAACACCCCUGUAAUCAUCGUCUUUUUACUCAGGAGAAAAGGUUCUACUCUUCAUAAUUCCAUAGUAAUUCACAUGAACGGAGGACAAAAAGUUUCGUUACUCAGCAGGUUGUGUAACAGACUACUAAAACUCUGUUUUAGAUCAAGAGUCACAUAGGUGCCGGUGAAACUAAAGCUGUGAUGAAAGCAACCCUUGAUACUUCCAUUUUACAACAAUGGAGUACAAAACUGUCUCGGCUAUUUGGAUUUCUUUGCUGUAGUAAAGUAAUACGGUAGUUCAAAUGUUAACUUAGACAUACUGACCAAUAACGAGCAGAGAACCCAGACAAUCUUCAGCAAACUCGCAUAAAGGAGGUACGUAUACUACAUCCAAUCACAUGGAGGUACUAUAGCUGAUCAUCCGGGACAUACACCCAAUCACAUGGAGGUACUACACCCAAUCACAUGGAGGUACUACACCCAAUCACAUGGAGGUACUACAACUGAUCACAUGGAGGUACUACACCCAAUCACAUGGAGGUACUACACCCAAUCACAUGGAGGUACUACACCCAAUCACAUGGAGGUACUACACCCAAUCACAUGGAGGUACUACACCCAAUCACAUGGAGGUACUACACCCAAUCACAUGGAGGUACUAUAGCUGAUAAUCCGGGACAUACACCCAAUCACAUGGAGGUACUACACCCAAUCACAUGGAGGUACUACACCCAAUCACAUGGAGGUACUACACCCAAUCACAUGGAGGUACUACAACUGAUCAUCCGGAACAUACACCCUUACACUUUCAUUCUGUCGUGUAUAUGUCGGUCAGUGACGGGGUGUUGACAUACUCUCUUCAUUCGGUCGUGUAUAUGUUAGUCAGUAACGGGGUGUUGACAUACUCUCUUCAUUCUGUCGUGUAUAUGUCGGUCAGUGACGGGGUGUUGACAUACUCUCUUCAUUCGGUCGUGUAUAUGUUAGUCAGUAACGGGGUGUUGACAUACUCUCUUCAUUCUGUCGUGUAUAUGUCGGUCAGUGACGGGGUGCCGACAUACUCUCUACAUUCUGUCGUGUAUAUGUCAGUCAGUGACAGGGUGUUGACAUACUCUCUUCAUUCGGUCGUGUAUAUGUUAGUCAGUAACGGGGUGUUGACAUACUCUCUUCAUUCUGUCGUGUAUAUGUCAGUCAGUGACAGGGUGUUGACAUACUCUCUUCAUUCUGUCAUGUAUAUGUCAGUCAGUGACGGGGUGUCGACAUACUCUCUUCAUUCCGUCGUGUAUAUGUCAGUUACGUGACGGGGUGUUGACAUACUCUCUUCAUUCUGUCGUGUAUAUGUCAGUCAGUAACGGGGUGUUGACAUACUCUCUUCAUUCUGUCGUGUAUAUGUCGGUCAGUGACGGGGUGUUGACAUACUCUCUACAUUCUGUCGUGUAUAUGUCAGUCAGUGACGGGGUGUUGACAUACUCUCUUCAUUCUGUCAUGUAUAUGUCGGUCAGUGACGGGGUGCCGACAUACUCUCUUCAUUCUGUCCUUAUAUGUCGGUCAGUGACAGGGUGCUGACAUACUCUCUUCAUUCUGUCCUGUAUAUGUCGGUCAGUGACGGGGUGUUGACAUACUCUCUUCAUUCUGUCGUGUAUAUGUCAGUCAGUGACAGGGUGUUGACAUACUCUCUACAUUCUGUGAUGUAUUUGUCAGUCAGUGACAGGGUGUUGACAUACUCUCUUCAUUCUGUCGUGUAUAUGUCAGUCAGUAACGGGGUGUUGACAUACUCUCUUCAUUCUGUCGUGUAUAUGUCGGUCAGUGACGGGGUGUCGACAUACUCUCUUCAUUCUGUCGUGUAUAUGUCGGUCAGUGACAGGGUGUCGACAUACUCUCUUCAUUCUGUCGUGUAUAUGUCGGUCAGUGACGGGGUGUUGACAUACUCUCUUCAUUCUGUCGUGUAUAUGUUAGUCAGUAACGGGGUGUUGACAUACUGUCAUCAUUCUGUCGUGUAUGUCAGUCAGUAACGGGGUGUUGACAUACUGUCGUCAUUCUGUCGUGUAUGUCAGUCAGUUACGGGGUGUCGAUAUACUCUCUUCAUUCUGUCGUGUAUAUGUCAAUCAGUGACGUGGUGUUGACGUACUCUCUUCAUUCUGUCGUGUAUAUGUCAGUCAGUAACGGGGUGUUGACAUACUCUCUUCAUUCUGUCGUGUAUAUGUUAGUCAGUAACAGGGUGUUGACAUACUCUCUUCAUUCUGUCAAGUAUAUGUCAGUCAGUGACAGCGUGUUGACAUACUCUCUUCAUUCUGUCGUGUAUAUGUCAGUAAGUGACGGGGUGUUGACAUACUCUCUACA